UGCCUGGGAUAUUUUAUCUUACAUAUCAAAAGGGUCAUUCUCAGUGUGAUGAAGGUAAAUGAUUUUGAGAAGGAGAGGUGAUUGCAGCUUAUCUAGGUGAACCCAACAGAAUCGCAUGAGCCCUUCAAAGCAGAGAAACUUUUGUUGGGAGCAGGGGAGUGAGAAGAUACGUGAUUGAUAAGAGUGAUGGAGAGAUGAUAUGGACAAGGAGAUAGAGAUUUGAAGUGUGACGAGGACACUCACUCCUUGCUUCAUAGUCCUCCAGGUCUCCCCUGGCUGUUCCUGUCACCAUGCCUUUCCUCUCAGUGUUCUUCCUCUGGUUUCUCCACGUGAAUCUUACCAGCCUGACCAUGCAUGACUUUGGUGGAUGCGUCAACAGAUCUAUUGACCACUGGUGUCUUUGGAGGCAAGAGAAAGACAAGUCACCACAAGUUAAGAACACGCACACAUAAGAGUGGAGGGUGACCAGGAUAUGAUCUACUGUAGCGGAAACAUUUCCUAUCAUCAUCGUCCAACAGAGUGAGUGGAUUACAAUAGAAAUUCAACAAAUAUUUGGGAAGAGAGAAAAGCUGCAGUGAGUGGAGAGGAAAUGACUAAUUAGUGCAUAUCUAAUAAAUGUCGGGUACAUAGCAAUGCUUUCUCGUGUAUUAUCUCAUUUAUUACUCACAUCCUUUCACGUGUUCAUUCUUUUAACAAAUAUUUAUUGAGUCCUAGUAUGUGCCAGAUACUGCUCUAAAUGUUAAGGAUACAGUUAAUACUAAAUGAAAGGAGACAGACAACAAACCGAAACAUCAGCAAAUAAGAUUGUCAAAUAAAU
rnacentral:lncRNA from 1 species